rnacentral:rRNA from 1 species
UAGAGUUUGAUCCUGGCUCAGAGUGAACGCUGGCGGUAGGCCUAACACAUGCAAGUCGAACGGCAGCACAGAGGAGCUNNNUCCUUGGGUGGCGAGUGGCGGACGGGUGAGGAAUACAUCGGAAUCUACUCUGUCGUGGGGGAUAACGUAGGGAAACUUACGCUAAUACCGCAUACGACCUACGGGUGAAAGCAGGGGAUCUUCGGACCUUGCGCGAUUGAAUGAGCCGAUGUCGGAUUAGCUAGUUGGCGGGGUAAAGGCCCACCAAGGCGACGAUCCGUAGCUGGUCUGAGAGGAUGAUCAGCCACACUGGAACUGAGACACGGUCCAGACUCCUACGGGAGGCAGCAGUGGGGAAUAUUGGACAAUGGGCGCAAGCCUGAUCCAGCCAUACCGCGUGGGUGAAGAAGGCCUUCGGGUUGUAAAGCCCUUUUGUUGGGAAAGAAAUCCAGCUGGCUAAUACCCGGUUGGGAUGACGGUACCCAAAGAAUAAGCACCGGCUAACUUCGUGCCAGCAGCCGCGGUAAUACGAAGGGUGCAAGCGUUACUCGGAAUUACUGGGCGUAAAGCGUGCGUAGGUGGUCGUUUAAGUCCGUUGUGAAAGCCCUGGGCUCAACCUGGGAACUGCAGCGGAUACUGGGCGACUAGAAUGUGGUAGAGGGUAGCGGAAUUCCUGGUGUAGCAGUGAAAUGCGUAGAGAUCAGGAGGAACAUCCAUGGCGAAGGCAGCUACCUGGACCAACAUUGACACUGAGGCACGAAAGCNNGGGGAGCAAACAGGAUUAGAUACCCUGGUAGUNNNNNNCCUAAACGAUGCGAACUGGAU